CCUACGGGUGGCAGCAGUGGGGAAUAUUGGACAAUGGGGGCAACCCUGAUCCAGCCAUGCCGCGUGUGUGAAGAAGGCCCUCGGGUUGUAAAGCACUUUCAGUGAGGAAGAACGCCUGGUGGUUAAUACCCAUCAGGAAAGACAUCACUCACAGAAGAAGCACCGGCUAACUCCGUGCCAGCAGCCGCGGUAAUACGGAGGGUGCGAGCGUUAAUCGGAAUUACUGGGCGUAAAGCGCGCGUAGGUGGCUUGAUAAGCCGGUUGGGAAAGCCCCGGGCUCAACCUGGGAACGGCAUCCGGAACUGUCAAGCUAGAGUGCAGGAGAGGAAGGUAGAAUUCCCGGUGUAGCGGUGAAAUGCGUAGAGAUCGGGAGGAAUACCAGUGGCGAAGGCGGCCUUCUGGACUGACACUGACACUGAGGUGCGAAAGCGUGGGUAGCAAACAGGAUUAGAUACCCCGGUAGUC
rnacentral:rRNA from 1 species